UCCUCCUCUCCCCUCACAGUCCUCUCCCCAUCCUGGUCACAACAUGCUGAUCCAAGUCCAGCUGCUGUGGCUGCUCUCAGCUCUCACAGGAUCUGAGGGUGCGGUACAGCUGGUGGAGUCCGGAGGAGGCGUGAAAUACUCUGGGGAAUCUCUGCGUCUCUCAUGCCAGGCUUCAGGAUUUACUUUUGGGGACUACUGGAUGGGUUGGUACCUGGAAGGAAAGUCCCGUGAGUUUGUGUCCAGCAUCAGUUACUGGGCUGGCAGUGAGAAAAGGUACGCGGAUGCAGUGAAGGGACGAUUCUCCAUCUCCAGGGACAACGCUAACAGCCGGUUGUACCUGCAGAUGGACAGGCUGCAAGUGGAGGACACCGCCCGGUAUAUCUGUGCAAGAGCACAGUGAGGAAAAGUGAGUGAGGGCUCAGACACAAACCUCUCGGGCCCCUCCUGAAUCAAGUCCCAGGAAGCUACUGUGGCUGCUGCUGCUGCUGCUGAACAGUAGCAUGUGAGAGGAAAUAAUGUCUAGCUGUCAUUGGUCAGCACACCAGAAAUCUCCCUUUUUGGCAUCCUGUCUCCAGGGAAGCCAUUAAAGCUUUACUCACCUGGCCCUCCACUCCCCCUUUCCUCUGCCUCCUCUUCCAGUCCCCAUGCCCAUGCCCAUAGCUUCCCUGGCCCUGCUGCCUCCCUAUUCCUCCAUCUGUGGACUCCAAACCUGCUCCUAUCAUAUUCUUUUAAACUUGUCCUCCAUUCCCUUCCUCUCUCUCUGCCAUGUCUUCAUUCUCAGACAUCUUCCCUCAAUGCCAUGUGGUAAAAGGGACAGGAAUGGGGUAGGGGACACUGGAUAGGAAGUGCUGGGAGGAGACAAACAGUGACAGAGUGGCAGUAGAAAUUAAAACAAGUAGACAGUGAUCUUGAA